UAUGUCCUACGGGACGCAGCAGUGGGGGAUAUUGCACAAUGGGGGGAACCCUGAUGCAGCGACGCCGCGUGGGCGAUGGAGUGCUUCGGCAUGUAAAGCCCUAUCAGCAGGGAAGAAAAUGACGGUACCUGACUAAGAAGCCCCGGCUAAAUACGUGCCAGCAGCCGCGGUAAUACGUAUGGGGCAAGCGUUAUCCGGAUUUACUGGGUGUAAAGGGAGCGCAGACGGCAGUGCAAGUCUGGAGUGAAAGCCCGGGGCCCAACCCGGAACUGCUCUGGAAACUGUGCGGCUAGAGUACUGGAGGG
rnacentral:rRNA from 1 species